rnacentral:rRNA from 2 species
UACGUAGGGGGCUAGCGUUGUCCGGAUUUAUUGGGCGUAAAGAGCGUGUAGGCGGCCAGGUAGGUCCGGUGUGAAAACUCGAGGCUUAACCUCGAGAUGUCAUCGGAAACCAUCUGGCUAGAGUCCGGAAGAGGAAAGUGGAAUUCCUGGUGUAGCGGUGAAAUGCGCAGAUAUCAGGAAGAACACCAAUGGCGAAAGCAGCUUUCUGGGACGGUACUGACGCUGAGACGCGAAAGCGUGGGGAGCGAACAGG